AGCGAACGCUGGCGGCAGGCUUAACACAUGCAAGUCGAACGGGCUUCUUCGGAGGUCAGUGGCAGACGGGUGAGUAACACGUGGGAACGUGCCCUUCGGUUCGGAAUAACUCAGGGAAACUUGAGCUAAUACCGGAUACGCCCUUUUGGGGAAAGGUUUACUGCCGAAGGAUCGGCCUGCGUCUGAUUAGCUUGUUGGUGGGGUAACGGCCUACCAAGGCGACGAUCAGUAGCUGGUCUGAGAGGAUGAUCAGCCACACUGGGACUGAGACACGGCCCAGACUCCUACGGGAGGCAGCAGUGGGGAAUAUUGGACAAUGGGCGCAAGCCUGAUCCAGCCAUGCCGCGUGAGUGAUGAAGGCCUUAGGGUUGUAAAGCUCUUUUGUCCGGGACGAUAAUGACGGUACCGGAAGAAUAAGCCCCGGCUAACUUCGUG
rnacentral:rRNA from 1 species